rnacentral:rRNA from 1 species
AGUGAACGCUGGCGGUAGGCCUAACACAUGCAAGUCGAACGGCAGCACAGUAAGAGCUUGCUCUUACGGGUGGCGAGUGGCGGACGGGUGAGGAAUACAUCGGAAUCUACUUUUUCGUGGGGGAUAACGUAGGGAAACUUACGCUAAUACCGCAUACGACCUACGGGUGAAAGCAGGGGAUCUUCGGACCUUGCGCGAUUGAAUGAGCCGAUGUCGGAUUAGCUAGUUGGCGGGGUAAAGGCCCACCAAGGCGACGAUCCGUAGCUGGUCGGAGAGGAUGAUCGGCCACACUGGAACUGAGACACGGUCCAGACUCCUACGGGAGGCAGCAGUGGGGAAUAUUGGACAAUGGGCGCAAGCCUGAUCCAGCCAUACCGCGUGGGUGAAGAAGGCCUUCGGGUUGUAAAGCCCUUUUGUUGGGAAAGAAAAGCAGCAGGUUAAUACCCCGCUGUUCUGACGGUACCCAAAGAAUAAGCACCGGCUAACUUCGUG